UACGUAGGUGGCAAGCGUUGUCCGGAAUUAUUGGGCGUAAAGCGCGCGCAGGCGGUCCUUUAAGUCUGCUGUGAAAGCCCACGGCUCAACCGUGGAGGGUCAUUGGAAACUGGAGGACUUGAGUACAGAAGAGGAAAGCGGAAUUCCACGUGUAGCGGUGAAAUGCGUAGAGAUGUGGAGGAACACCAGUGGCGAAGGCGGCUUUCUGGUCUGUAACUGACGCUGAGGCGCGAAAGCGUGGGGAGCAAACAGG
rnacentral:rRNA from 1 species